CCUACGGGAGGCAGCAGUGGGGAAUUUUGGACAAUGGGCGCAAGCCUGAUCCAGCAAUGCCGCGUGAGUGAAGAAGGCCUUCGGGUUGUAAAGCUCUUUUGUCAGGGAAGAAACGGUGGAGGUUAAUACCUUCUGCUAAUGACGGUACCUGAAGAAUAAGCACCGGCUAACUACGUGCCAGCAGCCGCGGUAAUACGUAGGGUGCAAGCGUUAAUCGGAAUUACUGGGCGUAAAGCGUGCGCAGGCGGUUGUGCAAGACAGAUGUGAAAUCCCCGGGCUCAACCUGGGAAUUGCAUUUGUGACUGUACGGCUAGAGUGUGUCAGAGGGGGGUAGAAUUCCACGUGUAGCAGUGAAAUGCGUAGAGAUGUGGAGGAAUACCGAUGGCGAAGGCAGCCCCCUGGGAUAACACUGACGCUCAUGCACGAAAGCGUGGGGAGCAAACAGGAUUAGAUACCCUGGUAGUCCACGACCUAACGACUNUCUACUAGUUGUCGGUCGUU
rnacentral:rRNA from 1 species